UCAAGUGUGGAUUCUUAGUUUUAAUUCAAUGAACUAAUUCUUUGUUUGAGAUUACAAUGGAUCUUAUUGUGUAGUUAAUUUUUAUAUGCUUUGCUAUCAAUUAUUAUGUUCUAUUAUGAGGAUUGUCUAUUGUGAUUUGGACUUAAUUGUUUAAUUGAUUGGCCAUCAAUUACCAUGAUAAUCUAUACGAACUCGAGAGAUGAAGUUUAGAUUUAGAUCCGAUCAUAAUAGCAUGUGUUUGUGAUUUCUGCAUAGAUGGAAUUCAUGAUUCGUGUUUAGGAUAGAGAUAAGCCUUUACGCCAUAUGUAAUCUUAUAGAGAACUUGUGCUUUAAAUACUUUUUAAUUGUAAUUCACAUAGAGAUAUAGUGGAUUAGUUAAUUAGGGUGUCUUGCUUAAUUCUAUCAUCUGUGGAUUUAAGUAAGUAUGGGUAUUAUACAACGAGAGGUGGUUUUAUCUGCUUUAGUGUUCUUGAUUAACAAUUCAGAAUAGAAAAUAAUUGAUGAGGAGUGUGUUAUCUUAAAUGAAGCAAUAAGUGAAGUUGUGAUCUUAAAUCUCCAUAAUCUAAUUUUUAAUUAGUGGUAAUUAGAAUUAGUUUAGUUAAAUAAUUUAAUUUAUAACAUUAAAUUCAUUGGUUUAAAUAAGAUUGAGUUGGUUACAGGUUAGUACUUGGUGAUUUUUAUUAAAUAAUUAUCUAUGGGAACGAUACUCAACUUAUCACUUUAUUACUUGUUGACCACGUAUACUUGCGUGUUGUGCGUAAUUAAAUUUUACCCAACAAAAUGUUGAGACGAUGCGCUGGGGUUGAGGUGGCAAGAUGACGAUUUUUCCUCUCACUGGGGUUAUCUCCGGUUUUAUUACUUGUUGACCACGUAUACUUGCGUGUUGUGCGUAAUUAGAUUUUACCCAACAAAAUGUUGAGACGAUGCGCUGGGGUUGAGGUGGCAAGAUGACGAUUUUGCCUCUCACUGGGGUUAUCUCCGGUUUGGGCUGAUAACAAAAGUUGCUCAGGGUUACAUCUGAGAUUGGACUAAGUGUUUGAAUUCCACAUAUUCAUCUUUAAGUGUGCCUGUCUUCCCGGUGUUAUCUUCGGGUUUUUGGAAUGAGUGUCUCGGUAGGAGGUCUGAGAUUGAAGCUGAUUGCAUGUAUUUGAAAUAAGCAUUUCCAGAGUUAUCCCUAGAACUACAACAGCAUUCCUUGGGGUUAUCUCCAAGGAUUAAUGUGGCGACCCCAAAUCCGGAUACUUGAAACCCGAACUCGGUUCUCCACGAUACCAUUUCUUUAAGCUGAAU
rnacentral:lncRNA from 1 species